rnacentral:lncRNA from 1 species
AACCCUAGGGUUUUUCGAAGAUCAACUGUAGUUUAAAAACCGGUGAUUGAUUUUCUAAAUUAAAUUUUUAAAGUGGCCUUGAUUGAGGCAAUUUCGGUAUCUCAGCAAAUAUUUCAUACAAAUUGAAGAACAAUAACAGAAUUUCUAGACAUACUAGAAAUCUGAGCAGCAGCUUCUCUUAUUAUCAUGUUCCCCUGGAGAGGGUGCUGGGUAGGAAUCUUGUGCCAGUUCUGUCUCCUCCUCAGGCCCUUGCACAGAAGCCGUGAAUAGAUGCACACUUACCAGGUAUUUUAAACUUCCUAUAAAUUAUUAACCAAAUCCGUAACGGGUAGU